AGGAUUCUUUACGGUAAGAGCAGUGAGACUAUGGAACUCUCUGCCUGAGGAGGUGGUGAUGGGUGCUUGAUCAGUGGACCCUUCCCAACAACUCUGACCGAUUAAGGAGAGGGACCAGGACACGCAGAUGAUCUAAAAACAGCCUUGUUAAGAUGGAAGCAGGUUUAUGGAAGAGGAUGACUGGGUCAAUACUGGAUAGGCAGUGGUCACACAGCAUGAGGUAGCCGUUGCUGAACCACUCCCUCCACACAUGUCUGCAUAGGAGGCAGAGCUGAAGGCACUCACGGAGGUGUGUAAAAUGGCCGAAGGGAAGAAGGUGAACAUCUACAUGGAUGAUUUUGGUAUUGCACAUGACUAUGGACACAUAUGGCAGGCUAGAGACUUUUUGAGUUCUGCAGGUCAGCCCAUUAAAAACAAAGAAUGUGUGCUUGAACUAACUCUGUACUGUUGCCAGAAAAAGUUGCUAUUGUGAAAGUAAAGGCUCACACAAGGUACCAUGGCAGAGGUAGAAGGCAAUGACAGAGCUGAUAAGGCAGCCAAGCUAGCUGUGUUCUGGCUACUGAAUGCUGAUGCCACCCCGAUAAGAGCCUUUAAACCUGUGAAUAUAUCCAAAGAAACUCUGAUCAAAUUGUCUGAGCAGGCCCCACCUGAAGAAAAAGAACUAUGGACUAAACAAGGGGAUGUACCAGAUGACCAAGGACUAUGGAGAAACAAAUACAGAAAUCUGCCUGCCACGCCCUCUGUACCCGUUUAUGGCUCAGGAGGCCCAUGGGCCUACACAUCUGUUAAAAGGUGCCAUUGUAAGUGGUGUAAUAAACAUUGUCUGGAUUGCUCCAGGGUUCUCUACAGUUGCAGCCGUUUGGGGAAGGAUGUAUGAUCUGUGCAUUGAAGAACCAUGGCCAAGUGGUGAAGACUCCAAGCAAGCACACCCCUAGGCCUUUAUCAGUUUCAGAGACUGCAGAUAGACUACAUAUAACUAUCAAAGAUCCCGACUUAGUAGAAGGUACACACAGUCUUGAGCCUGCAGAUUGGGUGAUGAUUAAGAGGCACGUGAGGAAAACCUUUGAGCCCAGAUUUGAUGGUCCCUUCCAAAUCCUGUUGAAAAGUGCAACCUCCAUAAAGGUGGAAGGAAAGCCUAACUGGAUUUACUCCUCACAUUGCAAGAAAGUGCCAAACCCUAAGGAUGGAGAUCCUUGCACUGCUACUCCUGGCUCUGAGCAUCUAAGCUCUAUAUGUGAACCUAAAAAGUGACUGGGACAAUGCCCUUAUUAGGCAUCAUCAGGUCAUGUUAAAGAAUGACAGACGCAGACAAUUAUAAAAACUGUUGUAUCUGUACUCACAGUCCUGUGAGUUCAAAGAUUAUGCCUAAGGCCUCUUUCACACUUGCGUUGUCCGGAUCCGGCGUGUACUCCACUUGCCGGAAUUACACACCG